UUAAUUAAUUGGGGUAGUUACUUAGACGAUUAGGGGUUACUUGAUCAGGGGUUACUCGAUUGAUUAGGGUUUAUUCAGUUAGAAAUUACUCCAUCGGUCAGGAGUUUUGGUGUGUGUCAAGUUAACCAGCGUGACAAGGCUAGCUUGUUACUCGUAAAUCAUACUCCGUAUUUUUCUAACAAUCAACAAUAUUAACCCUAGAAAUAAACAACUCUAAACUAGACAAAGUGUUUUUAUUUUUUAUUUUUUAUUUUUUUGACUGAAUUCUUGGUCUCCCUCAGUCUCGUUUAUCCUGGUUUGUUGUUUUCUUUGAAUGCUGAAUCAGUAGGCUGUGGUCUUCUCCUCCCCCGAAUUUCCUCACAAUUUCUUUGACUACUAUCAACUUUAUUCUCCUCACAAUAAUACUCUCCUUCUCCCCGACUAAUUUAGGGCUUAAAGCUUAAACAAUCUUCAAUGGCGGACGACGAUUACAAUAUGGGAUAAACGAACCCUAAAGCAAUUCAGGGAAACUACACAAUUUGACUAUCUCUAAAUCAAUACUCAAUUUGAUGGUUUUUCAAACUUGAAUGGAGUAGCAGGAGCAAAACCGUGGCUCAAGAAUGACCCUUGGAAAAUUACAGGUUGUAGGGGGCUAGUAUUCAAACAACUUGUAAAGGAAGUACAAAAAGAAUUUCAAGGGAAGCAAAGAGAGUUCGAGGCUAACAAGAAACGGGGGCUAGUAUCUCAGUGUUCAUCACCCAGAGCUCUUUCCAGUCACCAUUUCUUCUCUUGUUUUUAUCACUGGCGGUCUCACAGGUUUUUUUUGCCAUCUUUUUCUCUCCAAUCUUUGGUAAAAUUUGAUGUUAUUGAGCUUUGUUUUUGUGGGUUUUGCUUUGAUUUUUAAUGGGUUUAGUUGGAUUUUAGAAUUGGGUUUGCUUUAAUUCUUAGAAUUGUAGUUUAGGUUGGUGUAAAUAAAGGAUUUAAAUUUUGAAAUUGAAGAGAUGUUUGAAUUGUAGUUAAAGUUGAAAUGCUCAUGAAUUCUCAAGACAUUGACUUUGUGAGUGUUAAAGAAAGUCGAUGUUCAGCAUACAUUGACUUUGGUGAUCUGCAACUACUGCUAGAAUCUAGUUGAGAGUUGACUCUGAAAUAACCUUCUUUUACUUAUUUGAUGACUUGAUGAGAAGUGUAUUUUGUUAGGCUUCUGAUUGCUCUCUUCUCUUAUUUAUAUCGUUCUCUCUCCCCGUUGACUUCUGACUAACCUCCUAUUUGAUUUCAUGUGUAUCUUUAUUUCAUCAUUUGAAAACGGUUUUGGUGAAUUAGUUUCAUAUGAUUCUAUAUUUAAUCAUUUGAAACGGCUUUGGUGACUGGUUUGCGUUAAUGAAAGGCAAAGAAGAGAGAAUCAGGAUAUUUGGAUAUUGCAAGCAGUUUGUUUUAGCAGAAAAAGCUAUAAUGGUUUGAUUAUGACACUCCCUCUCCUAUUUAAUGGUUUAAGCUAACUACAGAUUAUGAGAGUAGAAUUGUCAAAAUACCGAGAAACAUGUAAAUGGAGAGUAAGAAUGCUUAAUUGAAUAGCUCUCAUGAAACCUAACCUGCCAUUUAAGAAAAAAGAAGAUGAAACCCCGUUGUGGCAUUGCAGAUUCCGUGCAACGGUUGAUCAUGAAAUGCUCCCCUUAAGUAAAUUUACACUCUUUAGUGGUGAAUUGUUAGAUAUGUUUAUGGGGCAGAUUGAAUGCUUCCAUACUGUCGCUUCAUUAGCAUAUGGGUUUAGAAGAAGAAUAAAGAGACGAUUUUGGUUUUCGAUCUUGGAGGUAGUAAUUUUAAUGUUUCGGGUGAGUUCUUUAAAAAGAAAAACUCCAAUAGUUUACUUUUUGAUGCUGUACAUCAGAUUUUCUUACAUUGCAACUCUUUCUGCCUUUUGCAAUUCUUGAGGUUGGAGACGGAGUUUCAAGGUGUUAUCUACAUCAGGUGACUCAUUUGGGUGGCGAUGACUCUGAUAAGAAUGGUAAAUUGGCUAGCAGAAACUUUCAAGAAGAAUGAGGAUAUUGAUCUUCGGGAUGACAGACAAGCUCUUUGGCGUCUAUCUAAAGCUGUUGAGAAGGCAAAGAUUGAGCUUUUGACUUUAACUCGUAUUAGCAUUAGGCAAGUAAAUGUGUAUAAUUAUAAAAAGAGCAAAGUUCAAAGAGUUAUGUUCAGACUUGCUUGGAAGAUUAAAGACACCUGUUGAAACUGCUUUAGAGGACGCUCAAGUAUCAAUUAAAGACAUAGACGAUGUUAUCCUUGUUGAUACCAGCUGUACGGGAUGUUGUGAAAAAGAUGGCAAGACCGACCUGAAUUGCACUGUCAACCCUGAUGAAGUAGUAGCCCUUGGUGCUGCUAUUCAGGUUGAUGAUGAUGUUAGUCUACAACAAUGCUAAGGAGGAUUUGAAGCCAGUGAAAGAUACAGACCAUAUGAAUGUUGCUCAAUCUCAGGAUGAUUUUAUUGUGCAACAAAGGAUAGUGCUUUUUAUUUUUAAUCAAAGGUAGCUUUUAUUUCCACAAAGAAUAUUCGGUAGAAAAUGCGGCAUUUAUUGUUGUAUACAAGUUUAAGGCAUAUGGUACAAAUAUAUGUGUAAGGAAUAUUUCAAGCGUUAA